UCACAGUGAAAUGCUGAAUACAACAGGUGUAGUAGACCUCACAGUGAAAUGAUGAAUACAACAGGUGUAGUAGACCUCACAGUGAAAUGCUGAAUACAACAGGUGUAGUAGACCUCACAGUGAAAUGCUGAAUACAACAGGUGUAGUAGACCUCACAGUGAAAUGAUGAAUACAACAGGUGUAGUAGACCUCACAGUGAAAUGCUGAAUACAACAGGUGUAGUAGACCUUACAGUGAAAUGCUGAAUACAACAGGUGUAGUAGACCUCACAGUGAAAUGAUGAAUACAACAGGUGUAGUAGACCUCACAGUGAAAUGCUGAAUACAACAGGUGUAGUAGACCUUACAGUGAAAUGCUGAAUACAACAGGUGUAGUAGACCUCACAGUGAAAUGCUGAAUACAACAGGUGUAGUAGACCUCACAGUGAAAUGCUGAAUACGACAGGUGUAGUAGACCUCACAGUGAAAUGCUGAAUACAACAGGUGUAGUAGACCUCACAGUGAAAUGCUGAAUACAACAGGUGUAGUAGACCUCACAGUGAAAUGCUGAAUACAACAGGUUACCAAGAAAUGCUUACUUACAAGUCCAUAACCAACAAUGCAGUUAAAAAAAUAGUUAAGAAAAUAUUUACUAAAUAAAGUAAUAAAUUAACAAUGGCUACAUACAGGGGUUACUGGUACGAGGACAUGUUUAGGGCCUUCCUUUGACACAGCCUGGUAUAGAGGUCCUGGACGUCAGGAAGCUUGGUGUGUACUGGGCCGUACACACUACCCUCUGUAGCACCUUACGGUCAGAUGCUGAGCACUUACCAUACCAGGAGGUGAUGCAACCAGUCAGGAUGCCCUCAGGUUCAGCUUUAGAACUUUUUAAGGAUCUGGGGACCCAUUCCAAAUAUUUUCAGUCUCCUGAAGGGGAAAUGGUGUUGUCUUUAAUAAUGGGAAUUGAUGGGAAAUUAUGUAAAAUAUAUCACUAGCCACUUUAAACAAUGCUACCUAAUAUAAUGUUUACUUACCCUACAUUAUUCAUCUCAUAUGUAUAUGUAUAUACUGUACUGUAUAUCAUCUACUGCAUCCUUAUGUAAUACAUGUAUCACUAGCCACUAACUAUGCCACUUUGUUUACAUACUCAUCUCAUAUGUAUAUACUGCACUCAAUACCAUCUACUGUAUCUUGCCUAUGCCGCUCUGUACCAUCACUCAUUCAUAUAUCUUUAUGUACAUAUUCUUUAUCACUUUACACUUGUGUAUAAGGUAGUAGUUUUGGAAUUGUUAGCUAGAUUACUUGUUGGUUAUUACUGCAUUGUCGGAACUAGAAGCACAAGCAUUUCGCUACACUCGCAUUAACAUCUGCUAACCAUGUGUAUGUGACAAAUAAAAUUUGAUUUUGAUUUGGUUGGACCAUGAUAGUUCGUUGGUGGGCAACAAGGAAAUCUGUAAUCUGAUUUGGUGAGGGUAUAUCUGUGAUCUGAUUGGUGAAUAC